rnacentral:rRNA from 1 species
AUUGAACGCUGGCGGCAGGCCUAACACAUGCAAGUCGAGCGCGAAAGUUCUUCGGAAUGAGUAAAGCGGCGGACGGGUGAGUAAUACAUGGGAAUCUGCCAGGUAGUGGGGGACAACGUUUCGAAAGGAACGCUAAUACCGCAUACGCCCUACGGGGGAAAGGGGGGGAUCUUCGGACCUCUCGCUAUCAGAUGAGCCCA